GCCUCUGACCAAGUCACCCAGAGCGUGCCCGAUCUCAUCAGAUCUCGGAAGCUGAGCAGGGGUCAACUUGGACAAGGCUUAGAUGUGCUACCACCAUGCAUAAAACAAGUGUCAUAGGCU
rnacentral:rRNA from 1 species